rnacentral:rRNA from 1 species
CAGUAGCCGCGGGAAUACGAAGGGGGCUAGCGUUGCUCGGAAUGACUGGGCGUAAAGGGCGCGUAGGCGGCGAUCAAAGUCAGGCGUGAAAUUCCUGGGCUCAACCUGGGGGCUGCGCUUGAUACUGGAAGUCUUGAGUCCGGGAGAGAUGAGUGGAACUGCGAGUGUAGAGGUGAAAUUCGUAGAUAUUCGCAAGAACACCAGUGGCGAAGGCGGCUCACUGGCCCGGUACUGACGCUGAGGCGCGAAAGCGUGGGGAGCAAACAGGAUUAGAUACCCCAGUAGUCCCUGUCUCUUAUAC